rnacentral:rRNA from 1 species
AUACGGAGGAUGCGAGCGUUAUCCGGAUUUAUUGGGUUUAAAGGGUGCGCAGGCGGGCGAUUAAGUCAGCGGUGAAAGGCUCGGGCUCAACCGGAGCAGUGCCGUUGAUACUGGUUGUCUUGAAUGCGGUCAAGGCCGGCGGAAUGUGGCGUGUAGCGGUGAAAUGCAUAGAUAUGCCACAGAACACCGAUAGCGAAGGCAGCUGGCCGGGCCUGCAUUGACGCUGAGGCACGAAAGCGUGGGGAUCGAACAGGAUUAGAUACCCUGGUAGUCCACGCUGUAAACGAUGGACACUCGCUGUCGGCGACAGACAGUCGGCGGCCAAGCGAAAGUGAUAAGUGUCCCACCUGGGGAGUACGGUCGCAAGGCUGAAACUCAAAUGAAUUGACGGGG